ACUCUGCUCCCUGAUUUCCCUUUGCUAAUGGUGAGAGACCAAAGAAGCAUAGGAGCCUUUUUGUCUGCUUGCCAUGAAAAUGAAAUUGACUUUGGGAGGCUUCUGAGCUUUACAAAAUUAAAAUGAAAAAGGAUUGGUACUAUGGAGUGAAAUGUAUCCUAUUACCAGGACAUCUUGCUUUAUUCUAAGAAAGCACUGGAGAAGGUUGCAGGAUGUCCCUAUAACCUGAGAAACAUUCUUCAGCAUCCCUGACCAAAGGAGAACAUCUGUAGAUAUUAGAU